UGGGAUCAGCCUCUUGUGGUUGUGUUUUCGAACACACCACUCAUCAUCUUGCCUCUGGGAAUCCCGGCACACCUUUUAGACAUGCUCGAACAGAGAGGCUGCCAAACCAGCGUAUGGUCACACAGCAGAGCCAGUGAGAUGACGCCGCACCUGCUACGGAGUCUGACACACCUGAGCUUGAUCCUUGGGACCCACGACCUGGAAGGAGAGAACCAACACGCAUGCACGCGAAGGAAAGAACUAAGGGUGGAUCUGGGGGUGCUGUGGAUUAAACCACUUUACUAAGUGGGCAGAAGCCCAGGAGUUACUGCUGAUCCUGAACCCAGUCCU
rnacentral:lncRNA from 1 species